ACACUGUCCACUUUUUAUGUAAGACAUUCUAAACUGCAACUUUAUAAAAACAAUUUGAAAGUUUAUAAAUUAAAGGGACACUAUAGACAUCAGAACCACUACAGCCUAUUGUAGUGUUUUUGGUGUUUAUAGCUCGCCAUGCAGACUUUCCAAUGUAAAUACUGUCUAGUAACACCUUUAGGUGCAGUCACGCAGAUAGCAACUAGAGGUGCUUCCUAGUCGAGCGUCUCCACACUCUGCAUGGAAACCCUGAACGCUUCCUAGGGAGAUGCAUUGAUGCAUUAUGAAGAGAUGCGGAUUGGUGCUGCGUUUUCCUAUGGGAAAGCAUUAAAUUGGCUGAGAUCAUCAAAACUGAUAUUCUUGGGCAUGGAGGUAAACUCACCUUUUAAUUCCACCAAGAGAGGGGCCAGAAACAAACAGCCACACCAGCACUAUAGUGUUAGGAUUACAUGCAGCUGUAGCUAUACUUGCAGCGCUGGAUACAGAGAGCUUAUCUCUGUAUUAAUUAUUCAGAGGCUUGCAUUGUCACGGCUUCCUGUGCCGCUGUGUUGUGAACUCUUGACUGUAGUUAUGGCAUAAUUUGCAAUAAAAAAAAAAAUAAAAAAAUUAUUUGCAAUUAUGCUAAUGUUUAUACAUGAUUGGCAGUCGUGCAUUCAU